rnacentral:rRNA from 1 species
GGGGAAUAUUGGACAAUGGGCGAAAGCCUGAUCCAGCAAUGCCGCGUGAGUGAUGAAGGCCUUAGGGUUGUAAAGCUCUUUUACCCGGGAUGAUAAUGACAGUACCGGGAGAAUAAGCUCCGGCUAACUCCGUGCCAGCAGCCGCGGUAAUACGGAGGGAGCUAGCGUUGUUCGGACUUACUGGGCGUAAAGCGCACGUAGGCGGCUUUUUAAGUCAGGGGUGAAAUCCCGGGGCUCAACCCCGGAACUGCCCUUGAAACUGGAGAGCUAGAAUCUUGGAGAGGCGAGUGGAAUUCCGAGUGUAGAGGUGAAAUUCGUAGAUAUUCGGAAGAACACCAGUGGCGAAGGCGACUCGCUGGACAAGUAUUGACGCUGAGGUGCGAAAGCGUGGGGAGCAAACA